UACUUCUGUCUUGUGCUCAGGUCGGAUAAAUCUUUCGCCUUUUACUAAAGAUUUCCGUGGAUGCGGGACACUAAGGAAGUUUACCCUAAUUUUUUGGUAACUCCAUCAUCUUUAUGAUGAA
rfam:Rhizopus oryzae RA 99-880 supercont3.2 genomic scaffold, whole genome shotgun sequence.